AAGACAUUUAAAUGUUGGAUAAUAUUGCUACAGGCUAAAUGUUUGUAUCCCCACCCACAUUCAAGGUUGAAGCCUAAUCCCCAAUGUGAUGGUAUUUGGAGGUGGGGCCUUUGGGAGGUGAUUAGUUUUAGGUGAGCUCAUG